GCAGGUACCACAUUUUCAUCAGGCUUGUC
rnacentral:piRNA from 1 species